rnacentral:rRNA from 1 species
UACGUAGGGUGCAAGCGUUAAUCGGAAUUACUGGGCGUAAAGCGUGCGCAGGCGGUUAUGCAAGACAGAGGUGAAAUCCCCGGGCUCAACCUGGGAACUGCCUUUGUGACUGCAUAGCUAGAGUACGGUAGAGGGGGAUGGAAUUCCGCGUGUAGCAGUGAAAUGCGUAGAUAUGCGGAGGAACACCGAUGGCGAAGGCAAUCCCCUGGACCUGUACUGACGCUGAGACGCGAAAGCGUGGGGAGUAAACAGG